AUUUGGUUACCUGCUUUAGCAACUGCAUAUGAUACAGACAGUGAUACGUUUCUAGUCUGCAACUCGUCAGAGUGUAUUCAAAGAGCCAAACUAAUAAAUGACUCACUUAACACCUCCAUUGAUCCUUGCACGGAUUUCUAUUCAUACGUAUGCGGCCGGUGGGAAAGCACUCAUCCUCUUCCAAGUGGUGCGGGCAGCUAUGAUGUUUAUCAGGAGAUUCGUAAAGAUAUUCCGGAAAUGCUAAGCUAUAUUCUUGGAAACCGAACCCUGGUUGAGACUAACCAAACCGCAAUCGACAAGGUGGUAAUCAUGUAUAAUGC
rnacentral:lncRNA from 1 species